rnacentral:tRNA from 1 species
GGAUGUGGCUCAAGUGGUAGAGCGCUUGCCAAGCAUGCGUGAGACACUGGGUUCGAUUCUCAGCACCA